AGAGUUUGAUCCUGGCUCAGGACGAACGCUGGCGGCGUGCUUAACACAUGCAAGUCGAACGGAAAGGCCCUCACCUUGGUGGGGGUGCUCGAGUGGCGAACGGGUGAGUAACACGUGGGUGAUCUGCCCUGUACUUCGGGAUAAGCUUGGGAAACUGGGUCUAAUACCGGAUAGGACCAUGGUUUAGUGUCUCAUGGUGGAAAAAUUAUUGUUUUGGUGCAGGAUGAGCUCGCGGCCUAUCAGCUUGUUGGUGGGGUAAUGGCCUACCAAGGCGUCGACGGGUAGCCGGCCUGAGAGGGUGGACGGCCACAUUGGGACUGAGAUACGGCCCAGACUCCUACGGGAGGCAGCAGUGGGGAAUAUUGCACAAUGGGCGCAAGCCUGAUGCAGCGACGCCGCGUGGGGGAUGACGGCCUUCGGGUUGUAAACUCCUUUCGUUAGGGACGAAGCCACACUUUUUUUGGGUGUGGUGACGGUACCUUUGUUAAGAAGCACCGGCUAACUACGUGCCAGCAGCCGCGGUAAUACGUAGGGUGCGAGCGUUGUCCGGAAUUACUGGGCGUAAAGAGCUCGUAGGUGGUUUGUUGCGUCGUCUGUGAAAUUCCGGGGCUUAACUUCGGGGUGGCAGGCGAUACGGGCAUAACUAGAGUGCUGUAGGGGAGACUGGAAUUCCUGGUGUAGCGGUGGAAUGCGCAGAUAUCAGGAGGAACACCGAUGGCGAAGGCAGGUCUCUGGGCAGUAACUGACGCUGAGGAGCGAAAGCAUGGGGAGCGAACAGGAUUAGAUACCCUGGUAGUCCAUGCUGUAAACGGUGGGCGUUAGGUGUGGGGACCGGUUUGGUUUCUGUGCCGUAGCUAACGCAUUAAGCGCCCCGCCUGGGGAGUACGGCCGCAAGGCUAAAACUCAAAGGAAUUGACGGGGGCCCGCACAAGCGGCGGAGCAUGUGGAUUAAUUCGAUGCAACGCGAAGAACCUUACCUGGGUUUGACAUGCACCAGACGGUUGUAGAGAUACGUACCUCCCUUUGUGGUUGGUGUGCAGGUGGUGCAUGGUUGUCGUCAGCUCGUGUCGUGAGAUGUUGGGUUAAGUCCCGCAACGAGCGCAACCCUUGUCUCGUGUUGCCAGCACGUUGUGGUGGGGACUCGCGGGAGACUGCCGGGGUUAACUC
rnacentral:rRNA from 1 species